AUUGAACGCUGGCGGCAUGCCUUACACAUGCAAGUCGAACGGUAACAGGUCUUCGGAUGCUGACGAGUGGCGAACGGGUGAGUAAUACAUCGGAACGUGCCCGAUCGUGGGGGAUAACGGAGCGAAAGCUUUGCUAAUACCGCAUACGAUCUACGGACGAAAGCAGGGGACCGCAAGGCCUUGCGCGGACGGAGCGGCCGAUGGCAGAUUAGGUAGUUGGUGGGAUAAAAGCUUACCAAGCCGACGAUCUGUAGCUGGUCUGAGAGGACGACCAGCCACACUGGGACUGAGACACGGCCCAGACUCCUACGGGAGGCAGCAGUGGGGAAUUUUGGACAAUGGGCGAAAGCCUGAUCCAGCCAUGCCGCGUGCAGGAUGAAGGCCUUCGGGUUGUAAACUGCUUUUGUACGGAACGAAAAGCCUCUUUCUAAUAAAGAGAGGUCAUGACGGUACCGUAAGAAUAAGCACCGGCUAACUACGUGCCAGCAGCCGCCGCGGUAA
rnacentral:rRNA from 1 species